GUGGAGAGUGGAGGGCAGAUCCAUAGGGCAGAGUGGAGGGCAGAUCCAUAGGGCAGAGUGGAGGGCAGAUCCAGGGCAGAGUGGAGGGCAGAUCCAUAGGGCAGAGUGGAGCAGAUCCAUAGGGCAGAGUGGAGGGCAGAUCCAUAGGGCAGAGUGGAGGGCAGAGUGGAGGGCAGAUCCAUAGGGCAGAGUGGAGGGCAGAGUGGAGGGCAGAUCCAUAGGGCAGAGUGGAGGGCAGAUCCAUAGGGCAGAGUGGAGGGCAGAGUGGAGGGCAGAUCCAUAGGACAGAGUGGAGGGCAGAUCCAUAGGGCAGAGUGGAGGGCAGAGUGGAGGGCAGAGUGGAGGGCAGAUCCAUAGGGGGCAGAUCCAUAGGGCAGAGUGGAGGGCAGAUCCAUAGGGCAGAGUGGAGGGCAGAUCCAUAGGGCAGAGUGGAGGGCAGAUCCAUAGGGCAGAGUGGAGGGCAGAUCCAUAGGGCAGAGUGGAGGGCAGAUCCAUAGGGCAGAGUGGAGGGCAG
ensembl:lncRNA